rnacentral:rRNA from 1 species
AACGAACGCUGGCGGCAUGCCUAACACAUGCAAGUCGAACGAGACCUUCGGGUCUAGUGGCGCACGGGUGCGUAACGCGUGGGAACCUGCCCUUAGGUUCGGAAUAACUCCCCGAAAGGGGUGCUAAUACCGGAUAAUGUCUUCGGACCAAAGAUUUAUCGCCUUUGGAUGGGCCCGCGUUUGAUUAGCUAGUUGGUAGGGUAAAAGCCUACCAAGGCGACGAUCCAUAGCUGGUCUGAGAGGAUGAUCAGCCACACUGGGACUGAGACACGGCCCAGACUCGGACGGUACGGAGCAGAGGGGAGUAUUGCGCAAUGGGGGAAAGACUGACGCAGCCAUGCCGCGUGAAUGAUGAAGGUCUUAGGAUUGUAAAAUUCUUUCACCGGGGGCGAUAAUGACGGUACCCGGAGAAGAAGCCCCGGCUAACUUCGUG